rnacentral:rRNA from 1 species
UACGGGGGGGGCAAGCGUUGUUCGGAAUUACUGGGCGUAAAGGGCUCGUAGGCGGCCAACUAAGUCAGACGUGAAAUCCCUCGGCUUAACCGGGGAACUGCGUCUGAUACUGGUUGGCUUGAAUCCGGGAGGGGGAUGUGGAAUUCCAGGUGUAGCGGUGAAAUGCGUAGAUAUCUGGAGGAACACCGGUGGCGAAGGCGGCAUCCUGGACCGGUAUUGACGCUGAGGAGCGAAAGCCAGGGGAGCAAACGGG